UUCCCCCGCGCUCUCUCUCUGCUCCCCGACCUCCCGCUCUCUCUCUCUUCGGCUCAUCUCUGCAACUCCGGCGUCCGGCCACCUGGGGACUUGCGACCGGCACGGUUCGACUUCCUCUCCUCAUACCCAGCCUCCCUGCAGCUGUAGUUCAUCGCGCCGUGGCCGGAAAAGGGAGAUAUAAGCCGUAGAACUUUACUGUAGCAAGAACGGUCAACGCCAUUUUCCUUCAAUUCAGGCCAUCUCCGGCCGUUUUUCUGGGCUUUUUCUGCAAGUAUUGAGCCGUAGACGACAUCCCUCCAAGCUUUCUUCCACAAAACGCAAUGAAAACGACGGAUCGAAGUUUCUUUUGCCCAGUGUGCAGGUUAGAUUAGUUGAGGUCGGGCGUACAUGGAAUCGAGCCAUAGUCAUCAGCAUAGCUUCCUCGUUUUCAUUUUAUUUAUGUUUUCCUUGUCUACCUUGGAUUAGAAUUGCUCUGAUAACCUAUGGGAUUAAUGGUGUUGAGUUGAGACUUGUAUUUGUGAAAUUAGAGAUGAUAUAAUUUUGGGAGCAGGGUGGCUCCAGGGAUAUAAGAUUGGUUUGUUAGAAGUAUGAAUGUAUUUCUACAGGUUUUGGAUAGUCCAUUUUUAGGGGAAGUUCUGCCAAAUUUUUUGUAAAAUUUCUUCAAAGGUGGGCUCUGCAGGGCCACUUCGGAUUUCAGGGUAAAAUCCGGGGCGGGUCCUGUCAAAAUGACUUUUAAGGACAAUAAAUAUAUCAAAAAAAAUAUAUUAUAUUUAUUUUCUCUAAAUUUUCCAACUCAAUAA